rnacentral:rRNA from 1 species
CCUACGGGGUGCAGCAGUGGGGAAUAUUGCACAAUGGGGGAAACCCUGAUGCAGCGACGCCGCGUGAGUGAAGAAGCGCCUCGGCGCGUAAAGCUCUGUCAGCAGGGACGAUAAUGACGGUACCUGUAGAAGAAGCCCCGGCAAACUACGUGCCAGCAGCCGCGGUCAUACGUAGAGGGGCAGCGUUAGCCGGAUUUAUUGGGUGGAAAGGGCGUGUAGGCGGGAAAGCAAGUCAGAUGUGAAAACUCAGGGCUCAACCCUGAGCCUGCAUUUGAAAAUGUGUUUCUUGAGUGCUGGAGAGGCAAUCGGAAUUCCGUGUGUAGCGGUGAAAUGCGUAGAUAUACGGAGGAACACCAGUGGCGAAGGCGGAUUGCUGGACAGUAACUGACGCUGAGGCGCGAAAGCGUGGGGAGCAAACAGGAUUAGAUACCCGAGUAGUC